GCUCAUUCUCGAUGUAGGGUAAUUGGUUCAAAGGACAUGCAUCCAAAUUCAAUUUUUCAAAUAUUCAUCAUUUUUGGGUACUAACAAAAUUGACAGGAACUUGAUUUUUUGUUCCAAGGUUACGCGCGGUGCAAGAUGAAUCAAUUGGUACAUAAUAAUGGAAAAAAAAACUUUCUAUUAAACUCAAUAAAAGGGGUCAAAACUAUGAACCUUCAUUAAUAAAAAUCGUUCAUUCAUACACCAAAAAUAAAAAGUGAGCAAAUCAUCAAAUUUUAAGGGUUUUAACAUAAAACUUCAAGAAUACAAAUAGAGUUUUUGAGAGGACGAGAGAGAGAAAGAAGUGAGAGAGAGGAGAAGUUGGAAAGAGUGGCGGCUGG
rnacentral:lncRNA from 1 species